GCUGGAGUGGCGGAACUGGCAGACGCAAUCGACUUAAGAUCGAUCGCCGUUAAGGCAUGCGGGUUCGACUCCCGCCUCCAGCA
rnacentral:tRNA from 1 species